GAUGAACGCUGGCAGCAUGCCUAAUACAUGCAAGUCGAACGAGAGGAAGGAAAGCUUGCUUUCCUGAAUCUAGUGGCGAACGGGUGAGUAACACGUAGGUAACCUGCCCAUGUGCCCGGGAUAACUUCUGGAAACGGAUGCUAAAACCGGAUAGGUAACAGACAAGCAUUUGACUGCUAUUAAAGUGGCCUUGGCCAUGAACAUGGAUGGACCUGCGGUGCAUUAGCUAGUUGGUGAGGUAACGGCCCACCAAGGCGACGAUGCAUAGCCGGCCUGAGAGGGCGGACGGCCACAUUGGGACUGAGACACGGCCCAAACUCCUACGGGAGGCAGCAGUAGGGAAUUUUCGUCAAUGGGGGGAACCCUGAACGAGCAAUGCCGCGUGAGUGAGGAAGGUCUUCGGAUCGUAAAGCUCUGUUGUAAGAGAAAAACGGCACUCAUAGGGAAUGAUGAGUGAGUGAUGGUAUCUUACCAGAAAGUCACGGCUAACUACGUGCCAGCCGCCGCAGUAAAAC
rnacentral:rRNA from 1 species